rnacentral:rRNA from 1 species
UACGUAGGGUGCAAGCGUUGUCCGGAAUUAUUGGGCGUAAAGAGCUCGUAGGCGGUUUGUCGCGUCUGCUGUGAAAACUCGGGGCUUAACCCCGGGCCUGCAGUGGGUACGGGCAGACUAGAGUGCGGUAGGGGAGACUGGAAUUCCUGGUGUAGCGGUGAAAUGCGCAGAUAUCAGGAGGAACACCGGUGGCUAAGGCGGGUCUCUGGGCAGUAACUGACGCUGAGACGCGAAAGCGUGGGGAGCGAACAGG